UGGUAAUGCAUAGGAAUCUACCUAGUAGUAUGGGAUAGCCCUAGAAAUGGUGGGUAAUACUGUAUAAUCCCUGCGGGGGAAAGAUUUAUCGCUAUUAGAUGAGCCUAUGUUAGAUUAGCUAGUUGGUAGGGUAAAGGCCUACCAAGGCGAUGAUCUAUAGCUGGUCUGAGAGGAUGAUCAGCCACACUGGAACUGAGAUACGGUCCAGACUCCUACGGGAGGCAGCAGUGGGGAAUAUUGGACAAUGGGCGCAAGCCUGAUCCAGCUAUGCCGCGUGAGUGAGGAAGGCCUUAGGGUUGUAAAACUCUUUCAGUAGGGAAGAUAAUGACGGUACCUACAGAAGAAGUCCCGGCAAACUCCGUGCCAGCAGCCGCGGUAAUACGGAGGGGGCAAGCGUUGUUCGGAAUUAUUGGGCGUAAAGGGCAUGUAGGCGGUUCGGUAAGUUAAAGGUGAAAUGCCAGGGCUUAACCCUGGAGCUGCUUUUAUAA
rnacentral:rRNA from 1 species